rnacentral:rRNA from 1 species
UACAGAGGUGGCAAGCGUUGUUCGGAAUUACUGGGCGUAAAGGGCGCGUAGGCGGCCAUCUAAGUCAGACGUGAAAUCCCCCCGGCUUAACCUGGGAACUGCGUCUGAUACUGGAAGGCUUGAGUAUGGGAGAGGGAUGUAGAAUUCCAGGUGUAGCGGUGAAAUGCGUAGAUAUCUGGAGGAAUACCGGUGGCGAAGGCGGCAUCCUGGACCAUUACUGACGCUGAGGCGCGAAAGCUAGGGGAGCAAACGGG